GAGCAAAUGAAAUUAAAAGCAACAGAAAAGAAUUAAAUAAGUAAGACAAUCUUCAAAGGAAAGAGGUUCUCGGUUCGACGGUCAACUUUGACACUCACCGUAGGGCUAAUGAGAAUGGGAUUCAUUACCUAGGAACACGGGGACAGGCACCAGGAGCCCGAAUGUGUGUCAAGUGCUCAGCAGAGCCCUCAGCAGACAGUAGGUGUGGAGAAGAGCCAUCAGGGCCUGAGAGGCCCAGGCUGAGUCCUGCCCCUGCCCACUGAGGAGUCCCAGCCCUACUCCAGGAUGUGUGAGGGCCAGAGACAGAAUGGAAGGUAUCUACCCUAAAAGAAGUCAUCAGAAAGGAGGGUGAAGGACUGCCCUGCUGGCGCAGUGCUUAAGAAUCCGCCUGCCAGUGCAGGGGACACGGGUUCGAGCCCUGGUCUGGGAAGAUCCCACAUGCCGCGGAGCA